UUUUUUUUUUUUUUUAUAUAUAUUACUUUGAUCUCAUAUCUUAUACUAUUGAAAUUGAGUAUUGACAGAUCGUAAAGUGCCUAUGGGUAAGCCUAACAAAUGGUAUUUUGCGUUGUAACAGAUCAUGCAGGUUAGUAACGUGUCUUUAAUGAUUAUGUGUUGUGGGGCAGGUUUUAUCUAAUGAACUCCCGAAACUUCCGAAUUAGAAGUAAAUUUGCCUUAAGAGGGUAUACAUCGGUAAUUGUGUAUCUAGAUCUUUCAUAGCACAUAUAUAGAAAAUAUUCCAUGAAAGGAUAUGAACGUAAAAAGGGACGUACUCUUUGGGGCGAAGGACCCAGGUUCAUAACCGGAAGUUCAACUUUCGAUACAAAUAAACAAAAAUCUUGGAAAUCUUGAACAGAGACCAUACCCGGAGUUAAGAAGCAGUAGCCAAAAGAAAUCAUUGCUAAAUCACAAGUUGGGUAGAUCAAGUAGAGACCUUGCUCGGCCACGAACACGGCCAAGGAUUGUAACUGGACCAGAGACUGGACAACAAGGCCACACCAGUUUUUUAAAAAUGGGUUACCAGACUGGACUGGAUUCACGACUCAUCACGCCACUAACUCAACUGCUUUGGUCACAUACAUUUAUACAUUGGAUCGUCAUCGACGUUAUUUAUGCUACCCCUAGAGCUUCGCAUUGGUAUGAUUCAGUUGAAAAUUUUUUCAGGUAAUCGUCAGAUUUUUUAGUUAAAAGCAGUAUAUUACUUUUAAGUUAAACCAACUCAUGUACAAAAUGUACAUGUGAUUCCAACAUAUAACAUUAACAAACUUAUUUAUAUAGAUUAAGACAACUUUUUCUUUUCUUAUGGGUAGGAUUGAAAAGAUUUGUGUAACGUUUAUAUCUCAGUUUCUAAACUUAAAAUUGCUGAAUGUGUUACGUUUACAAAUUUUUAUGGCCAUACAAUGAUGGGAUGCCACAUCAUGUGCUUUAAAUAAAAAACUUUUGUAAAUAUGAGGUUACAUUUGAUAUAAUUGUUAUAUAAUAUAUUACAUUGAAACUUUUAAAUGUUGUUUGGUAUUUAUCACUUUUUGAAUGGAGGACGCUAUCGAUUUAUAUAACAUUAUAAGAUUAAUAUUUAUCUUGUUUAAUAACCUGAUAAAAAAAAAAAAAAAAAAAAAAUAAAAUUUUUGUAAUGUUAAAUUCUCUCUUAUUAUAAGUAAUUGGAUAACCAUAUUUGGUAUAUGCGUACCUUGCAGGUCCUCAUGUCUGUCAGACAGUUUUCACUUGACCUCGACCUCAUUUCAUGGAUCGUCCUGAAUAUGCAUGAAAUAUUUGCCACUGGACAUUAAGAAACUAACAAUCAAUCAAUCAUCAUUUCAUGGAUCAGUGAACAAGGUUAAGUUUUGGUGUUCAAGUCCAUAUCUCAGAUACUAUAAGCAAUAGGUCUAGUAUAUUCAGUGUAUGGAAGGACUGUAAGGUGUACAUGUCCAACUGGCAGGUGUCAUCUGACCUUGACCUCAUUUUCUUGGUUCAGUGGUUAUAGUUAAGUUUUUGUUUUUUGGUCUGUUUUUAUCAUACUAUAUGCAAUAAGUCUACUAUAAUUGGUGUAUGGAAUGAUUGUAAGGUGUACAUGUCUAGCUGACAGGUGUCAUCUGACCUUGACCUCAUUUUCUUGGUUCAGUGGUUAUAGUUAAGUUUUUGUGUUUUGGUCUGUUUUACAUAUACUAUAUGCAAUAGGUCUACUAUAAUUGGUGUAUGGAAUGAUUGCAAGGUGUACGUGUCUAGCUGACAGGUGUCAUCUGACCUUGACCUUAUUUUUAAUGGUUCAGUGGUCAAAGUUAAGUUUUUUAGUUUUGGUCUAUUUUUCUAAUACCUUGUGCAUUAGGUCAACUAUAUUUGGUGUAUGGACAUAUUUAAUAAUCCUCGUGUCGUUUACGCUGGUUUUAUUUGACUUAGACCUCAUUUUCACGGUCCAUUGCUAAGUUUUAAGUGUUUGUGUGUUUUGGUUUGUUUUUCUUUAUUUAUAAGCAAUAAGUCAACUAUAUUUGUUGUAUUGAAGAUUUGUUAGCUGUACAUGUCUGCCUGGCAUGGUUCAUCUGACCUUGACAUCAUUUUCAUGGUUGAUUGAUCAAUAUUUCCUUUUCUUGGUUAAUGUUGAGUUUAUGUGACAGUUGUAAUAAAGCUUUAUAUUUAGGUCUAUCAAGAUAGUAUCAAGGAUUAGUAAAGAAGGCAAAACAUUUCAGUGUGUUCACUCUUGUUUUUAUAUAUAUACAUAUAUAUUAAGGGAAAAAGGGGUCCAAAGGUGUUAUCUUGUAAUCAACUUUUAAUCUUGACAAGUUUUGUUUUUUUUUUACUUUUUAAAUUGUCAGUCGCAGUUAAAUAUAUACAUGUAUGUACAUGUAAUAUUAGCAAAUCUAGAACAAACUAAGUAAUUAUUUACAGCUUGUCUUGCAGUCUGCUCCACUGCUAAAAAUCUUGAGUAUUUAGGUGUCAACAGCUUAAUUUAUAUAUAUACUAGUAUAGAAUGUAUUGUAAUCUUCAUCCUGGGGGAUUCUAGAAGUUGCCCAAUUUAUGAGUAUCGUACGCUGUAUGUUUAGGUGCUGUUUGUUAUUUUAGGCUGGUGCUUUAUGAGGAACUUUUCUUUGCAUAAAUGAUUGGCCCUACUGGUUGCUGGGCAACAGUUGAUUCCAAAUUACGGUUGUUAUUUAUUAUGGAAAUUAUAGUACAGGUUGAAUUUCAGUAACUUUAGCAUAAUGCUUGGAAGUUUUGAAUUGUUAUGCUUUUAAUUAUCUAUAUGUAGAUGUUGUUAAGCACUUGUUUGGUUUUUUUGUUUUUUGUGUAACACAGGUCAUCCUUUAUAACUUUUGGAUGUCCUAACAGGUAACUUUAACCAGGUGUACCUUGUUUAAUCUAUGCCUUGUGGCUUGUGAUAUCCAAGUUCAAAUCACCUUGUCCUUUAAUGUAAUAAAGCGGUCCUUUCAUUGAUUUUGAAGGAUUAUAAAAUCAAUAAUUGGGUUGGAGAUCCAAUACUGACACUUAAUACAGGGUUUUCCUGAAGAAUUAUUAUUUUUCUUGAUUUAUUAUGCUUUAAAUAGUUAUCAUAUUACUAUGUAGCUAUACUUCCUGUAGCUAUUUGCAAUACAGAGUUGUAGGAGAUUUUUAAUGUUUGAUGUUUUAAUAGUAGAAUCCUCAAUAGUAAGUAUGUUUUUGUAGCAGACUGAUAUCCUCCAGAUGGGGUUGACUUAGGUCUAGGCAUGAAAUGUUUUUUGUGGGGGGCAUAUUUGUCGCAUGUUAAACGUUAACUCAGAAUAUACAUGUAUAAUGAAACUGUAAGGAUCCAACAUAAUUUUAAUAAACUUGUAGUGGUAUUGACACAGGUAGUUCUAGAGUGGGUCUUUGUCAAUGAGAUGUAGAACAUGACCAGAUGGAGUGUGAAAUUCAUCAUUCUUAAGUAAGGAUGGUCGCAAUUUAGACCAAUGCAAACUGGACUGGUGCUGCUAUAAAAUUUACAACUAUUUAUUGCCUUUAUAAUAAGCUGUUGGGUUGCUACAUAAAAUAUCAUGAUUCGAUCAGAUCAGAACUUUUUCACUGGAUGUUUUUCACUGGAUGUUUUUCACUUGGCACUCUUAACCUGCUUAUGAAAUGAAUUCUUAAACAUCUUUAUAUUAUUGGUUGAUAUACUAUAAUAUACUAUAUUUUAUGAUAUACAAAUACAAUCAACUAUUUUAUGGUUUGCUGUAGUUUUGGUAAGUAUUUUUAUCUGUGUAGCCUAGGUAAAUAUGUUUUGAACAGUUGUUCACAAAACUUUAUCUAGAUUAUUUAACAUAUAUUAUGUACCAGUUGUACUUUAAAUAAAAAAAAUCUAUUUAUCUAUCUAGACAUCAUAUAUAUGGACCAAGUUGUACGUUCAGUAAAAUAUCUAUCCAGCUAUAUAUGUACCAAGUUGUACGUUAAAUAAUAUCUAUCUAUCUAUCUAGAUUAUUUAAUAUAUAUACGUACCAAGUUGUACGUUAAAUAACAAUAUCUAUUUAUCUAUCUAGACAAUAUCAUAUAUAUGGACCAAGUUGUACGUUCAGUAAAAUAUUUAUUUAUCCAUAUAUGUACCAAGUUGUACGUUAAAUAAUAUCCAUCUAUCUAUCUAGAUUAUUUAAUAUAUAUAUGUACCAAGUUGUACGUUAAAUUAAAAUAUCUAUUUAUCUAUCUAGACAUUAUCUUAUAUAUGGACCAAGUUGUACGUUCAGUAAAAUAUCUAUCUAUCUAUAUAUGUACCAAGUUGUACGUUAAAUAAUAUCUAUCUAUCUAUCUAGAUUAUUUAAUAUAUAUAUGUACCAAGUUGUACGUUAAAUAAAGAUAUCUACCUAACUGAGUUAUCUUAUAUCUGGUUCACAGCUUUGCAGCGAACCGCCCUUUUUAUGGCGGUUGACAGAGUCUCUGUUUUCCUCCGUCAAUGUGGCAGAAUUCGCUGCAUAGAAUCUUAAUGUUAACUAUGAAAUUUUAGGUUUUUGGAUAAUACAGACUACACUUGUGUAUCCCACGGUGUUUUCUAAAUUUUAAGCACCAGUGUAUCCCACGGUGCAUUUCAUAUAUAUCUAUCUUCACAUAUAUCUAUCUAUCUACCUGGUUGCCAUAUUAUCUUCGGGUAACCGACCAUAGAUCUAUCUACAUAUACAUGGUCUAUGGUCUAUCUAUCUAUCUACAACAUAUCUUAGUAUCUAUCUACAACAUAUCUAUCUACAUGUAUAUAUAUAUUAUAUUAUAUGAAUCUAUCAUAUUAUGAAUAAAAGCUGUGGCCAGAUAUCGCCAAACCAUAUAUGUAUUUUGUUUUAAUGGCACCAUCUGAGAUAAUGGAAUUUAAGUUAAUAGAUUUAAAUUCAGUUAUCGCCGGGGCCACUCACGGAUUGUGUUUCAUGUUUUAGAUUUACCCAACAUGAGUGACGUUAUAUUCUGUGACGUCAUUUAUUCCUUUUUAGAAUUUCAUCGCAGCAAGCAAGAUGUUUAAAUUUUGUAAGCGGUAAACUUGAAAACCCGCCCUCCCACUCCUUUUUAUUGAACAAGAUACUGCUCUUUUGUAUUUAUUUUUCAGGUUUUGUCGGUGAUAGUGGUGAUACAGAUUUGACUGAUGAUGUUAACUCGUUUGCUGUUGAGAAAAGUGACUUUUAUUUUUGAACUUUGAGCAUCAUAAAUAUAUUCCCGUAAAUGGCAGAAUUCGCUGCAUAGAAUCUUAAUGUUAACUAUGAAAUUUUAGGUUUUUGGAUAAUACAGACUACACUUGUGUAUCCCACGGUGUUUUCUAAAUUUUAAGCACCAGUGUAUCCCACGGUGCAUUUCAUAUAUAUCUAUCUUCACAUAUAUCUAUCUAUCUACCUGGUUGCCAUAUUAUCUUCGGGUAACCGACCAUAGAUCUAUCUACAUAUACAUGGUCUAUGGUCUAUCUAUCUAUCUACAACAUAUCUUAGUAUCUAUCUACAACAUAUCUAUCUACAUGUAUAUAUAUAUUAUAUUAUAUGAAUCUAUCAUAUUAUGAAUAAAAGCUGUGGCCAGAUAUCGCCAAACCA